CCGGAGGAAUGUGCGGUGUAGCGGUGAAAUGCANAGAUAUCGCACAGAACACCGAUUGCGGAGGCAUCCGGCUAGAUCGUGAUCGACGCUGAGACACGAAAGCGUGGGGAUCGAACAGGAUUAGAUACCCUGGUAGUCCACGCCGUAAACGAUGAUGACUAACCGUCGGGCCGGUUUAGGUCCGGUGGCCAAGCGAAAGCGAUAAGUCAUUCACCUGGGGAGUACGGCCGCAAGGCUGAAACUCAAAGGAAUUGACGGGGGCCCGCACAAGCGGAGGAACAUGUGGUUUAAUUCGAUGAUACGCGAGGAACCUUACCCGGGCUCGAACGGCUGCGGAAUGUGCCCGAGAGGACACAGCCUACGGGCUGCAGUCGAGGUGCUGCAUGGUUGUCGUCAGCUCGUGCCGUGAGGUGUCGGCUCAAGUGCCAUAACGAGCGCAACCCUUGCCUUCAGUUGCCAUCGGGUAAAGCCGGGGACUCUGGAGGGACUGCCACCGCAAGGUGAGAGGAAGGGGGGGAUGACGUCAAAUCAGCACGGCCCUUACGUCCGGGGCGACACACGUGUUACAAUGGCAGGUACAGAGGGGGGCCACACCGCGANGNNNNGNGGAUCCCGAAAGCCUGUCCCAGUUCGGAUCGGAGUCUGCAACCCCCCUCCGUGAAGCUGGAUUCGCUAGUAAUCGCGCAUCAGCCAUGGCGCGGUGAAUACGUUCCCGGGCCUUGUACACACCGCCCGUCAAGCCAUGGGAGCCGGGGGUGCCUGAAGUCCGUGACCGGAAGGAGCGGCCUAGGGCAAUACCGGUGACUGGGGCUAAGUCGUAACAAGGUAACC
rnacentral:rRNA from 1 species